rnacentral:misc_RNA from 1 species
CCGAGUUUACAACUCCCAAACCCCUGUGAACCUUACCUAUCGUUGCUUCGGCGGACACGCCCCGGCGCCACCGUGCCCGGAACCAGGCGCCCGCCGGGGGACUCAAACUCUUGCAUUUCUUGUAUCCUAUGAGACAAACAAAAAAAUAAAUCA